AUUUCGCCUUCCACAGCCUUGGUUUUCCGGCUGCUUAGGUGGUCAUCGCCGGGUUCUCUUGUUCGACCAGGUAACUUGUCAUCCUGUUGGUUCAGGAGAUUAUGAUGAGUACGUGCUUCCCUGGUAUUUGUUCAGGGUUGAUGUAUAGAAUAACAUUGAUAUUUUCUACUUGGGUUAUUAUUUUUGUCUUGAUUUCUUCAUGCCGUGUGUAUAUUCAUCUACUUCCUUUCGUUUACUGAUAUGAACAUAUGGCUAUGUGCUUUUUCUUUCUUCUUAUCUACCCGUUUGGCAGCUGUUAUAUGCUUGGAUUGGAGUAUAAGACAGGUUCUCCAUGUUCUGGUCUACGUUUCUUCUGGUAAUUAUGGUUGAGUUGGUAAUGCAAAUAGUUUGAUUUAUAAAGUAAGUUGUCCUGGACUUAGGGAGCUGAGUGAGUGCUUGUUCUGUCUAGUGUGGGUAAAGGUGGGUCUGCGCGCUAUGUCUAGCGGCUGCUGGUGUAGGUGAGGUUGGGUUUCUGGGUGCUUGUUUGAGGGUGUGGAUUCUGGGAAUGGGGUGCCCUCGUUGGGGCUGGAUAUCUGUCUGGGGUGGUUCUGCUGCGAGCGUGGUGAGAACUGAAGUUUGUGUUGAGGAGGGUGGUUAAACUUUAAUGGAUGCCGGUUUUGUGUGUCUAGUGGGAGCCGGGUGUUAGUAUCAAGUUCUCAAAAUCGAUUGAAGAGUUUGUGGUUAUUGCUUCCUUUUAGUCUAUUAAGGCAUGCGAUCAUCGUCCAUUGACAGUAUUGCAUCGAUGGAGCUCAUGCUCCUAAGUAAGCAUUCAGAUCGAAAGCAGCUGCAGAAGCUAGAACAAUCAUCCCUCUUGUUUGGUUCUAUCUCCAUCCCCAUUAGACUGUUUAGGUUGCUGUUAUACUCCUGCUUUCUUGGUUGAUCAUGCUGUCUAUUCUCUGAAGGGAGGAAGAAGGAGCGUCCAUCUGUUUUUACCCUGUGAAAAGCUUACUGCAGAAUCUUUUUUUUUCCUCCGUUAGCUCCCUGUCAUGGCCGCUCCUUGUGUUAGGCUCCUUGUGAAAAUCUAGCUGAUACUUCUCUGUUUACAGCUGCUGUUUAUUGUCUACCAUGUGGCUAGAACCUUAUUCUCCGGUGUCUACUGUGCUGAAACUUGUCAGUUACUACUUUUUGGCAGAGGGGCUGCUUUUGUGUUUUAUGCUCCUUAACUUGUACAUUUCUGCUCUAUCUGUGGCUCCUGUUCUGCUUCUCUGCUCUGUUAGAAUUCAGCCCGAUUAUUUCUUGCCUUUAUUUCUCAUGCUAGUGGUUGUUCCCACUUUAGGUGGGUCACCAUUCAUGCAGUUCUGAAGUUUCUGGGGAGAUUUUCAGUGCCCUUGGUGCAUGUUGUUUAGCCAAUGUUUUGUUCUCCUAAGUCCUACAUUUAUCUGUGCGCUAAAGCUUCUUGUGUUUACUAUAUGUCUUACUUCUUUUGGUGCUCUUUAGUUGCUUAAAUUUUUUUAGAGGUAAAUGAUUUAUUAAUAACAAGAGAGUUAGCUACAUACCAUUCUAAAUAGUUCUAGAGUACGCUUCAAGAAGACGAGCUAAGCCACAUAAAAUUGAUCCUCCAAAAGACAAGAGGAAAAAUUUCUGCAUUCAAUACAUAGAGGCAGCCACCAUAAUCAAUACACAAAGGAAAAGCUCCAGAUGCAGCAAUGCUUCUGUUCCAGGAACACAUGGCAGCCAAAAGGAGAAAGCUUAUACAUGAAAGCUCAAUAACAAUCAUCAAUGUCAAAACCAAUUACAUUACAUGUUGCUGCCUAAGAAGAAGAAAAGCUUGAAUUUGUGGGCGACAAGCAGCAGCAGAUCAGAUUAUGGCCGCAUCUUGUGCCGCUCCACUAUGACUCAUCCAGCUUUGCGAUGUUCAUCCCUAUAUGAGGUAUAACAAAGACUUGAAACAUUGUACCUGUCAUCUUUUAUCAAGAAAACAUUCUUUCUUCGCCUGGCCUCAAAUAGAGACUCUGUCAGCCUGGUAUAAACAGGAUUCAGCAUUUGAUGACAAACUGGCCGCUUGCUAAGCAUGCCUUUAAAAAUUGAAAACUUAAUGUGAUGAGAUGCACUCGAAUUGUGGUAUCUUGGCUUACUAAUAGCGUCAAUAAACCCUUCAAAUUUUGUCAUCUUCAAAUUUUGUUGAACAACCCCCCCACCAAUGGUCCCCAAAAAAAAAACAAGUAAAACAACCAAAGAUCAAUCGCCCCUUGGGUUGAGUAAUUAAUUUGUGAUUAGCUGUUUAUUUUGUUUUACCUUUCGAGAAAGAAAAGCUGUCAUGGAUGUCAUUGAAGAAAGUUACAAAGUUUCUAUAUUUGACUCUGUUUCUGCAUCUCUUUUGGGGGCUGUAUUCUCUGAUAGUUAAGGUCCCCAAAAGACUACAACUUUGAAGCCAUGGCGAGCACCAAAGUACGAAUGAUCAUGACCCAACCCAUUGAAUGGCUUUAAUUGUUCAUCUUUUAAGUUCUUUUAUAAUUGUUACUUUUCUUUUUUUGAAAUAUAACUAAUUGUGACUUCUUUUAAGUCAACUGCUCUGCGCAUUCGCUAAUUUUUUUCUGUUGUUCUUACAUCUGGAUUUCUGUGGCAAAAGAACCUGAUUUUCAGGUAUCUUCAACGUGUAAGCUCUCAGUUCCUUCAAAUUUAUUUCUUUUAUGUUUUUGGCUUGUCCAUCUCUGGGUCCUUUUGUUGUGCUUGGCUUUUGUUAAAAUUAUCUGGGAAUUGAUGAGUGUUUUAGCUUCCUGUUGGUUCGUUGCUUUUGUUGAAAUUUAUGCGGACAGCUUGCAUACAGAUUUGGCUAUUUGAGCAGAAAAAUUUUGAGGAUUGAAGGACGAAUCAUUGUUAGUUUCUUAUUGCUCCCAUCAUUCUUUUAAUUUAUAUGCACUAAACAUGAAACAUCUUUGGAGAUUUAUGGGUUAUAGUUUGACAGGCUCGAUUUUGUAUUGUAUUUACUAGUCUGUAACACGUUGACUGCGACUUUCUGACUUUAUUGUGUCUUUGUUACCGCAUGCCUUUAUUUACUGCACGAUGUGUUUUUCCUUAUUUUUUGAAGUCUACUUGGCCCGCCAAAUUUUUUUUAGAAAACCUCUAGCUGUAGUCAUUAAAAGGAUGGCCUAAGAUGCUUAGCCAAAUGUGUAUGAUUUAGAUUAAUAACAGUUGGAUGCAGUUUUCUUAUGUAGAUUGCACUAAAUAGGCUAAUUGGCUUUAGUAUGGUCAUGAGUUGAGAAAAAAUGGCGUUAGCCAUAUGCAUGAUACCUAGCUAAAAUUAAACGGUGGUUGUGGCAACGGCACCAACAGGGUUUCUUAUCAUACAGGUGAUUUCUGAUCAUUGUUUUAUAGAUAAGAUUAAGGUCUGACUUUGUGACUUUGCCAACGAAUUUUUAGGAUGCAUCGUCUGCCAUUAUUUACUUGUAAAGCACGUCAAUAUUCUAGAAUUUUUUUUAAGUUAACACUUGCUCAAAAGAAAGAAUUCAUAUUUGCUCUUCUAAGCUAGAUAAAGAACCACUAUGGGUAAUAUUACAAUCAAAUUGGUGACUGUGUCCCAAGCCUGCAUGCUGCUAGCUCCUUUCAGUUCCUGACUAGAUGGAUGAAAAUUGUAUGUGAAAAUGGACAACGGCAUAAUUAAAAUGGGUAAGAAUGCCAAUUAAAACAGCUCCUGAGGGAGAUAGGUCCUAACGGGAGUUGAAAACAUUCCAACUUAAAUGAGAAUAUUCCAAAUUUCAAUAUGGUCAAAAUUGCGUAACUCGAGUUAUCUUGUCUGUUACCUGAUUUAAUUCAAGUAUGAAUCCUUUUAUGGUUAUAAUUGGGAUGUGCAGGGUUUCCAUGAGUACAUGAAUCUAGUUCUGGAUGAUGCUGAAAAAGUGAACUUAAAGAAAGAAGACCAGAAAAUCACUUGUUAAGAAGUACUUUCUACUCUGAAGAGUUCUUCUUAAAGGAGACACCAAAACCCUAAUAAUGAACACGUGAAAGUGAUUCUCAUACCCAUACGGGCAUUUAUCUGGAUUAGCUUUACUUCCUAUUUCAAGUGAUUGUGUAGAUUUCUAUUAAGUUGUUUCUCAGUUACAGUAGGAGAAGAGAUUUUAACUUGUAUUUUAAAUGCUUCGUGGUUGAGUAUCUCGAUCAACCAUCAAAAGUUUUGUAGGUUUGGUGCUAUAUAUCCUCUACUGGAUGAAAAUGAAUAACUUGGUCAAUUUUCUUUUCCCCAUCGAAA